rnacentral:rRNA from 1 species
CAAAGAACUUUGAAGAGAGAGUUCAAAAGUACGUGAAACCGCUCGGAGGCAAACGGGUGGGCCCUCGAAGGUCGAACGGGGGGAUUCAACCCGUCUGCAGGCAUAGUUGCUCUUCAUGGAUGGCGGGACGUUGGACUGCCAUGAUUAUUGGAGCAGUUCCUGAGAAGUAUAUCUUUGCAGCGACAGCGGGCGGGUGCAUUUCCCCCUUAGUAGGACGCCGCGACCGGUCGGGUAUGCGGCCAUGCAGCGGGGCGAUGGGACAGAUCCGUUGCCGGUCUCUUUCUCUCGUUUCUCUGACGGGUGAAAAGCCGGUCGGAAUUACAGCCCGUCUCCGCUUCGGCUGCUGCCCGACCGAGGAACUGCGUGCCCGCGCCUUCGGCUGUGAGGCGCGCGGAAUGUUCUGGCAGGCAUCGCCGACGAAAUCAGAACACUUCUGGUGGUCGUCGGCAUUUUUUGCUCGGGGUGCUGUUGGUUGGGCGUUGCUGCUCGCGUAGUGGCGCUCGUGGUGGGCGGCGAGUAGGUCGGUUACCCACCCGACCCGUCUUGAAACACGGACCAAGGAGUCUAACAUGUGCGCGAGUCGCAGGGUGCUCGCGAAAAACCCGAAGGCGCAAUGAAAGUAAAAGUCGGUUAGC